rnacentral:rRNA from 1 species
UACGUAGGGUGCGAGCGUUAAUCGGAAUUACUGGGCGUAAAGCGUGCGCAGGCGGUUCGUUGUGUCGGUGGUGAAAUCCCCGGGCUUAACCUGGGAAUGGCCAUGGAAACUGGCGAACUGGAGUGUGGCAGGAGGGGGGUGGAAUUCCGCGUGUAGCAGUGAAAUGCGUAGAGAUGCGGAGGAACACCGAUGGCGAAGGCAGCCCCCUGGGCUAACACUGACGCUCAGGCACGAAAGCGUGGGGAGCAAACAGG